rnacentral:rRNA from 1 species
UACGUAGGUGGCAAGCGUUGUCCGGAAUUAUUGGGCGUAAAGCGCGCGCAGGCGGUCUCUUAAGUCUGAUGUGAAAUCCCGUGGCUUAACCACGGGCGGGCAUUGGAAACUGGGGGACUUGAGUGCAGAAGAGAAGAGCGGAAUUCCACGUGUAGCGGUGAAAUGCGUAGAGAUGUGGAGGAACACCAGUGGCGAAGGCGGCUCUUUGGUCUGUAACUGACGCUGAGGCGCGAAAGCGUGGGGAGCGAACAGG